rnacentral:rRNA from 1 species
UACAGAGAGUGCGAACGUUGUUCGGAAUUACUGGGCUUAAAGCGCACGUAGGUGGCAUCGUAAGUGUCAGGUGAAAUCCCACGGCUCACCCGUGGAACUGCCUGGCAUACUGCGAUGCUCGAGUGUGGUAGGGGAGAGCGGAACUCUUGGUGGAGCGGUGAAAUGCGUAGAUAUCAAGAGGAACACCGGUGGCGAAGGCGGCUCUCUGGUCCACAACUGACACUGAGGUGCGAAAGCUAGGGGAGCAAACGGG